rnacentral:rRNA from 1 species
AUUGAACGCUGGCGGCAGGCUUAACACAUGCAAGUCGAGCGGAGAUGAGGUGCUUGCACCUUAUCUUAGCGGCGGACGGGUGAGUAAUGCUUAGGAAUCUGCCUAUUGGUGGGGGACAACAUUCCGAAAGGAAUGCUAAUACCGCAUACGCCCUACGGGGGAAAGCAGGGGAUCUUCGGACCUUGCGCUAAUAGAUGAGCCUAAGUCGGAUUAGCUAGUUGGUGGGGUAAAGGCCUACCAAGGCGACGAUCUGUAGCGGGUCUGAGAGGAUGAUCCGCCACACUGGGACUGAGACACGGCCCAGACUCCUACGGGAGGCAGCAGUGGGGAAUAUUGGACAAUGGGCGGAAGCCUGAUCCAGCCAUGCCGCGUGUGUGAAGAAGGCCUUUUGGUUGUAAAGCACUUUAAGCGAGGAGGAGGCUACCUGGAUUAAUACUCUAGGAUAGUGGACGUUACUCGCAGAAUAAGCACCGGCUAACCCUGUGCCAGCCGCCGCGGUAACAC